rnacentral:rRNA from 1 species
UAGCUAGUUGGUGGGGUAAAGGCCUACCAAGGCGACGAUCUGUAGCGGGUCUGAGAGGAUGAUCCGCCACACUGGGACUGAGACACGGCCCAGACUCCUACGGGAGGCAGCAGUGGGGAAUAUUGGACAAUGGGCGAAAGCCUGAUCCAGCCAUGCCGCGUGUGUGAAGAAGGCCUUUUGGUUGUAAAGCACUUUAAGCGAGGAGGAGGCUACUUGGAUUAAUACUCUAGGAUAGUGGACGUUACUCGCAGAAUAAGCACCGGCUAACUCUGUGCCAGCAGCCGCGGUAAUACAGAGGGUGCGAGCGUUAAUCGGAUUUACUGGGCGUAAAGCGUGCGUAGGCGGCUUUUUAAGUCGGAUGUGAAAUCCCUGAGCUUAACUUAGGAAUUGCAUUCGAUACUGGGAAGCUAGAGUAUGGGAGAGGAUGGUAGAAUUCCAGGUGUAGCGGUGAAAUGCGUAGAGAUCUGGAGGAAUACCGAUGGCGAAGGCAGCCAUCUGGCCUAAUACUGACGCUGAGGUACGAAAGCAUGGGGAGCAAACAGGAUUAGAUACCCUGGUAGUCCAUGCCGUAAACGAUGUCUACUAGCCGUUGGGGCCUUUGAGGCUUUAGUGGCGCAGCUAACGCGA